AGCCCUAAUACAUAGCACCAGAGCUUUGUCCUCUCGGAAAAGCGCAUUUAUUAGAACAAAACCACGCGGCUUCGGCUGCUUCUUGUUGACUCAGAAUAACUAAGCUGACCGCAUGGCCUUGUGCCGGCGGCGUGUCUUUCAAGCGUCCACUUUAUCAACUUGACGGGAGCAUAAUCGACUCCCGUGGUGGUGACGGAUAACGGAGGAUCAGGGUUCGACUCCGGAGAAGGGGCCUGAGAAAUGGCCACUACGUCUAAGGAUGGCAGCAGGCGCGCAAAUUACCCACUCUCGGCUCGAGGAGGUAGUGACGAGAAAUAACGAGACUGUUCUCUUUGAGGCCGGUCAUCGGAAUGGGUACAAUUUAAACCCUUUAACGAGUAUCAAGCAGAGGGCAAGUCUGGUGCCAGCAGCCGCGGUAAUUCCAGCUCUGCUAAUACAUAGAAUUAUUGCUGCGGUUAAAAAGCUCGUAGUUGGAUUCGUAUCGGUACCUUGGAACCCUUCGGGUGUUUCUGGGUGUUAUCGAUUUAUCGUAAUGUUCGGUUUUGAGUCCUUAACAGGAUUCUUAACAGUCAUUGCAAGUUUACUUUGAACAAAUCAGAGUGCUUCAACAGGCGUUUUCGCUUGAAUGAUCGUGCAUGGAAUAAUAGAAACGAUUUCGGUUCAGUUUUAUUGGUUUUACGGACUGAGAUAAUGGUUAACAGAGACAAACGGGGGCAUUUGUAUGGGCCCGUGAGAGGUGAAAUUCUUGACCGUGUCCAGACAAACUACAGCGAAAGCAUUUGCCAAGAAUGUCUUCAUUAAUCAAGAACGAAAGUCAGAGGUUCGAAGCGUAG
rnacentral:rRNA from 1 species